rnacentral:rRNA from 1 species
AACGUAGGAGACAAACGUUAUCCGGAGUUACUGGGCGUAAAGGGCGUGUAGGUGGUUUCGUAAGUCUGGCGUGAAAUUUUUCGGCUUAACCGGGAAAGGUCGUCGGAUACUGCGGAACUAGAGGACGGUAGAGGCGUGUGGAAUUCCGGGUGUAGUGGUGAAAUGCGUAGAGAUCCGGAGGAACACCAGUGGCGAAGGCGACACGCUGGGCCGGUACCUGACACUGAUGCGCGACAGCAUGGGGAGCAAACGAGG